CAAAGAUUUAGCAUUACUCAAUUACUUUGAAAACAGCCACAUCCACCCACUUCUCUACAGUUCAUAACAGAAGAGUACUAGCAUUUAGAAAUCAUUUUCUCACCCAUAAUUGCUGUGCUGGUAGAUUUCUCAGUUUCUGCUAGUUCAUUUGUUGGAGCUCAAUGAAUCCAUAGUGUGCUGCCAAGUGAUUAAGUCAGAUGCCAUUUUUGUAUUCGGUUUUUAAAGCUGACUCACCCCCACCACCCCCCUUAUCUAUAUGUGCUGGAUCGGUCUGCAGUAUUGAGCCAACUCCUAGACAUGCUGUUCCACCCACAAUUGUUCAAGAGGGGCACAGCAGUUGAAAGUCUUCCUGACAAGCAAAGCUUAGGGAACUAGAAAGACACCAAUGGAUUUGAGAAGGACUGCUCUUUGGAGUAAGUGCUGAAGGGAACUUGCAGCUGUCACUGUGUUUGGAUGAUUGCAUGGGCAUUGUGUACACCUUUGUACCAGCAUUGGGAUUACAGUGUGAUUUGCUGCAGGUGGAUGAUUCCCCCCCCCCCCCCAGGAGAUAAGAAGCAUAAACAAGUAGAAGGUUGAACAGAACAAUAAUGACAUUACUACUCUAAGUGCUUGGAUGCCCUUUGAAUUGCACGUGUGUGGAAGGCAUUUGUGGCUGGAUAGGUGCAGUACUUGCAAGAAAGCACUGAAAACAGAAGGAGCAUUUCCAGUCUUAAUCCUACAGCUGCCUGCGAUCUUCUAAACAUUUUUACAGAAUAUUAAAUAGCCUGCAGAUGGAUGGUACAAGAUCCUGGAAUUAAAGUAUGCUGCGGAGAUAAGGCGCAAGCUUUCAGCACCCUGGACCUAAACGAGGUGUCUCAUCCAUCUACAUGAAAGCAGAUGUUUAAAGCAUUUCCUGUGUGCCUGGGGGGAAUCUGGAUUUUGAAUGAAGGAGAAUGAAUAAAAGAUAUCUGCAGAAGGCAACAAAGGGGACAAUUCUUAUGAUAAUAUUUAUUGGAACCAUCUGGGGAAAGCUGACAACUGGAGCAAUUCACCAAAAAGCCCAGCAUGUCAGAACUGGAACAUGUGAAGUUGUGGCUCUCCACAAAUGCUGCAAUAAGAACAAAAUAGAAGAAAGAUCACAAACAGUAAAGUGCUCGUGUUUCCCAGGACAAGUAGCAGGAACAACAAGAGCUACUCCUUCCUGUGUUGAUGCAUCUAUCGUGGAACAGAAAUGGUGGUGUCAGAUGCAACCAUGUCUUGAAGGAGAAGAAUGUAAAGUUCUACCUGAUCAAAAGGGAUGGAGUUGUGCCUCGGGUAGUAAAGUGAAAACAACAAAGACCCCUUGAUUUCUCUCAUGCCUAAUCAGCAUUAUUCAGAAUGUCUGAAUUCUGGUUCUAAUAUACCUAUAUGAUUAGCAUUAGAAGUGUUUAUCUGAAAUUGGCUGGAACAGGACACAAUUGGCCAUUGUCUGUUACACGGUAGCUGUAAGAAAUAUAAAUUUGAGGAAUUUAAACCUGGGAUCUAUCAUGGAACACAAUUUGUAAACAUUGUAAGAUGCAAGAAUUUCCUAACAAUAGAACUAUCAGAACUUUGUUAUAUACAAAACAAUGAAAGAACAAUUACCACCAAAUCCCUCUUGUGAGAUUAUAGACUGUGAAGUAGGCAUUCAAACUUUUGAGUGCAUGACAAGCUCAGCGUGAACACAAAGCAAGAAGUGAAAACCUUAUCCAAUUUUUUUUUCAGAUAAUCUCAUAUUUGCAACUUGAAGACUGAUCCUACACAUUUUGUAUGUUGAUUCCUAACACAUUGGUAGUUCGCUAUCAAGUAUUUGUUCAACAGGACACAAACUUCAAAAAUUAUACUUAUUUUUACUGUCAAUAAUUUUUUGUCCACAUUAAAAGAAUAUUUUAAUAAUUGUUAAAUUCAAAAUGAUUAUUCGAGCAAGCCAAAUGUCAACAUAUAUUCUCAUUAUUACAAUUACUAAUGUGUUACUAAUGUGUUACUCAACACAAUAGAUUUGUUUAACAAAAGUAAAUACAUUUGACUUGAAUAAGGCUUAAUCUCAAUGCUCACUUAUUACAAUAAUCAAACUAGUGGGAUUAAUUAAUCAUGUAUCCAGUAUGCUUUAAAUUUAGAUGGCGAUGAAUUAAUUAAUAACUUCCAAUCUUCUUGGUGAAACUGAUAAGAGGAGAUCUGCAAAAUUCAUUGUUUCAUUAGUCCUUUGAUGAAAUGGUUACGAAAAAUAAAAACCUCUUGGUAACCACUUGCAGAAAUAGGAGAUAGCCACUGGUUAUAAAGAAAAGGCCUUACUUGAUGAUUGAUCUGUAGAAGGCCCUAUGGAAAUAGCUGACUUUCUAAAACUUUCCAUUUUCCAAUCAUUACACACAAAGGGCCAGAUUCACAAAAUAGAUACGACGGCGUAUCUCCUGAUACGCCGUCGUAUCUCUGUUUU